UGCAGUCGAGCGAGAAGCACUUCUUCGGAGGUGUGGACAGCGGCGAACGGGUGAGUAACGCGUACACAAUCUACCUUUCAGUUUGGCAUAGCCCUGGGAAACUGGGAUUAAUACCGAAUGGUAUCGAGAUCUGGCAUCAGAUUUUGAUUAAAGCUCCGGCGCUGAAAGAUGAGUGUGCGUACUAUUAGCUAGUUGGUAAGGUAAUGGCUUACCAAGGCUACGAUAGUUAGGGGGCGUGAGAGCGUGACCCCCCACACGGGUACUGAGACACGGACCCGACUCCUACGGGAGGCAGCAGUAAGGAAUAUUGGACAAUGGGCGCAAGCCUGAUCCAGCCAUCCCGCGUGGAGGAUGACUGCCCUACGGGUUGUAAACUCCUUUUAUUAGAGAAGAAACCUCUCAAUUUAUUGAGAGCUGACGGUAUCUUAUGAAUAAGCACCGGCUAACUCCGUGCCAGCAGCCGCGGUAAUACGGAGGGUGCAAGCGUUACUCGGAAUCACUGGGCGUAAAGCGCGCGCAGGCGGCUAUUUAAGUUGGAUGUGAAAGCCUACGGCUCAACCGUAGAACUGCAUCCAAAACUAUUUAGCUAGAGUGUGGGAGAGGAAGAUGGAAUUAGUUGUGUAGGGGUAAAAUCCGUAGAGAUAACUAGGAAUACCAAAAGCGAAGGCAAUCUUCUGGAACACUACUGACGCUGAGGCGCGAAAGCGUGGGGAGCAAACAGGAUUAGAUACCCUGGUAGUCCACGCAGUAAACGAUGAAUGUUAGUCGUCGGGGAGCUCGUCUCUUCGGUGAUGCAGCUAACGCAUUAAACAUUCCGCCUGGGGAGUACGGUCGCAAGAUUAAAACUCAAAGGAAUAGACGGGGACCCGCACAAGUGGUGGAGCAUGUGGUUUAAUUCGAAGAUACGCGAAGAACCUUACCUAGCCUUGACAUAUUUGAGAACACUUUAGAGAUAGAGUGGUGCCUUCGGGAGCUCAUAUACAGGUGCUGCACGGCUGUCGUCAGCUCGUGUCGUGAGAUGUUGGGUUAAGUCCCGCAACGAGCGCAACCCUCGUCACUAGUUACUAACGGUUCGGCCGAGGACUCUAGUGAGACUGCCUUCGUAAGGAGGAGGAAGGUGAGGACGACGUCAAGUCAUCAUGGCCCUUACGGCUAGGGCAACACACGUGCUACAAUGGCCAGGACAGUGAGACGCGAUACCGCGAGGUGGAGCAAAUCUAUAAACCUGGUCUCAGUUCGGAUUGUAGUCUGCAACUCGAGAACAUGAAGCUGGAAUCACUAGUAAUCGUAGAUCAGCUAUGCUACGGUGAAUACGUUCCCGGGUCUUGUACUCACCGCCCGUCACACCAUGGGAGUUGAUUUCACCCGAAGCGGGGAAGCUAAACUGGCUACC
rnacentral:rRNA from 1 species